AUUGAACGCUGGCGGCAUGCCUUACACAUGCAAGUCGAACGGCAGCACGGGUGCUUGCCCCUGGUGGUGAGUGGCGAACGGGUGAGUAAUACAUCGGAACAUGUCCUGUAGUGGGGGAUAGCCCGGCGAAAGCCGGAUUAAUACCGCAUACGAUCUACGGAUGAAAGCGGGGGACCUUCGGGCCUCGCGCUAUAGGGUUGGCCGAUGGCUGAUUAGCUAGUUGGUGGGGUAAAGGCCUACCAAGGCGACGAUCAGUAGCUGGUCUGAGAGGACGACCAGCCACACUGGGACUGAGACACGGCCCAGACUCCUACGGGAGGCAGCAGUGGGGAAUUUUGGACAAUGGGCGAAAGCCUGAUCCAGCAAUGCCGCGUGUGUGAAGAAGGCCUUCGGGUUGUAAAGCACUUUUGUCCGGAAAGAAAUCCUUGGCCCUAAUACGGUCGGGGGAUGACGGUACCGGAAGAAUAAGCACCGGCUAACUACGUG
rnacentral:rRNA from 1 species